rnacentral:rRNA from 1 species
ACGGGUGAGUAACACGUAGGCAACCUGCCUGUAAGACUGGGAUAACUACCGGAAACGGUAGCUAAUACCGGAUAGCUGGUUUUCUCGCAUGAGAGAAUCAUGAAAGACGGAGCAAUCUGUCACUUACGGAUGGGCCUGCGGCGCAUUAGCUAGUUGGUGAGGUAAUGGCUCACCAAGGCGACGAUGCGUAGCCGACCUGAGAGGGUGAACGGCCACACUGGGACUGAGACACGGCCCAGACUCCUACGGGAGGCAGCAGUAGGGAAUCUUCCGCAAUGGACGAAAGUCUGACGGAGCAACGCCGCGUGAGUGAUGAAGGUUUUCGGAUCGUAAAGCUCUGUUGCCAGGGAAGAACGUCUUAGAGAGUAACUGCUCUAAGAGUGACGGUACCUGAGAAGAAAGCCCCGGCUAACUACGUGCCAGCAGCCGCGGUAAUACGUAGGGGGCAAGCGUUGUCCGGAAUUAUUGGGCGUAAAGCGCGCGCAGGCGGCUAUGUAAGUCUGGUGUAUAACCUCGGGGCUCAACCCCGGGUCGCACUGGAAACUGUGUAGCUUGAGUACAGAAGAGGAGAGUGGA